UGCAGGACAGUGAACCCAGACCUGCCCUAAAGCACUUCAGAUUUAAGAGAUUGUCUUUACAUCUGUAUAUUCUGCCCUAUAUCCAAUCUGUCUAAAUUAG